rnacentral:rRNA from 1 species
UACAGAGGUCCCAAGCGUUGUUCGGAUUCAUUGGGCGUAAAGGGUGCGUAGGUGGCGCUGUAAGUCGGGUGUGAAAUUUCGGAGCUUAACUCCGAAACUGCAUUCGAUACUGCCGUGCUUGAGGACUGGAGAGGAGACUGGAAUUUACGGUGUAGCGGUGAAAUGCGUAGAUAUCGUAAGGAAGACCAGUGGCGAAGGCGGGUCUCUGGACAGUUCCUGACGCUGAGGCACGAAGGCCAGGGGAGCAAACGGG